rnacentral:rRNA from 1 species
UGUGUAUCAGUACAUGGCAUAUCAAUAAGCGGAGGAAAAGAAACUAACAAGGAUUCCCCUUAGUAACGGCGAGUGAAGCGGGAAGAGCUCAAAUUUGAAAUCUUCAAGGGUUCUACCUUUACGAAUUGUAGUUUAUAGAAGUGUUUUCUGUUAGUGAGUUGGCUAAAAGUUCUUUGGAAUAGGACAUCAUAGAGGGUGAGAAUCCCGUAUUUGACCAUUACUUCCAGCGUUGUGAUACACUUUCAAAGAGUCGGAUUGUUUGGGAAUGCAGUCCAAAAUGGGUGGUAAAUUUCAUCUAAAGCUAAAUAUUGGCGAGAGACCGAUAGCGAACAAGUACCGUGAGGGAAAGAUGAAAAGAACUUUGAAAAGAGAGUUAAACAGUACGUGAAAUUGUCAAAAGGGAAGCGUUUGACACCAGUGUUGUUUUCUCGAAAAUCAAUUAAAAAUGAGUGGAUUUUGUGUUGUAUUGACUUUAUCAGCUUUCUGCACUUAUUUCUUAUCUUUUUUAAUGCACUUUUCGUUUAACAAGUCAACAUCAAUUUCUUUUGUUGUAAAAGAGUCAUUGGAAGGUGGCUUUUUCUUCGGAAAAAGUGUUUAUAGCCUUUGGCUUCUGCAAUCGGAGAGAUUGAGGUCUGCAGCGUAGAUCCUUCGGGGUUAGAUACAUUUGUGCUAAGCUAUAGUUCUUUAUAGACAACUUGUUGACUAUAAUCAAUCCUGUAACUUACUCGCUUAUGCUAUUUUACCUACGCUUAGGAUGUUGACAGCAGUAUAGACUGU